ACUUUGGAAGAGACCCCAAAGUAAAAGGUAAGAGGACUCUUUGUUUAAAACAUUAAAAAAAAAAAAGUCAAGCAAGAAAUUUUGUGGCAACAAUCUAAGCUCAGAGUUACUUAUAAGGAAUAUAAAUAAAGUUCAACCUGUGGCAAAUUUGCACUUUCUCCUUGAACUAUGUUGCUCUCAAAGAAAAAGGUUUGAAAGGAUCAAAACUAAAACUAG
rfam:Choloepus hoffmanni cont1.293865, whole genome shotgun sequence.